UACGUAGGGCGCAAGCGUUAUCCGGAAUUAUUGGGCGUAAAGGGCUCGUAGGCGGUUUGUCGCGUCUGCCGUGAAAGUCCGGGGCUCAACUCCGGAUCUGCGGUGGGUACGGGCAGACUAGAGUGAUGUAGGGGAGACUGGAAUUCCUGGUGUAGCGGUGAAAUGCGCAGAUAUCAGGAGGAACACCGAUGGCGAAGGCAGGUCUCUGGGCAUUAACUGACGCUGAGGAGCGAAAGCAUGGGGAGCGAACAGG
rnacentral:rRNA from 1 species